AAAAUCUUUGCUGUGGGCCCUCUCCAGAAAAGCUUACCAACCCUCAGUCUGUAUGAACACUGGCAGAACACUCUGUUGUGGCAGUGAAAAGUCUUUGGAGAGUCUGAUUCCUGUUCCUCGGGCUCUGGGCCUCCAGAGGCUGAAGCCACCAGCUUCCCCUGGCCUGGGGGGGAGGCUAGCAAGGAUGCCAUCCAGCCACCCACCCACCACCCGCCUCGACCACGCUCCACACCUCUCGGAAGGCGAUGCGCAGCUCCC